rnacentral:lncRNA from 10 species
ACCUGCUGCAACACUAAUGCCUUGAUUUUCCUACCUCAGUCUCCUUUUCUAUUAAUCCCUCUUUUGCGUGGCUGCCUGAGUCCACUUUCUCAAACACAAACCUCACUAUGCAACUUUGGAAUCUCUGUAGGCUCACCUUUGCCAUUUCUUAAUAUUGCAUUCUCCAAAUUGCUAAUCUCUAUCCAGUCUCUUGAACUAGACUUGGCACAUGGAGAUUCCGCUCAGAAAGUGCUCUUCACACUUCUACCUGCUUGACUAACCCCAGAUUAUCUUUCAAGACUUUAAUCUGAUCUUGUGUCUUAGAGAAGCCCCCAUACCUGGUAGAGCAU